UACGGAGGGUGCAAGCGUCAUCCGGAUUCACUGGGUUUAAAGGGUGUGUAGGCGGAUAUUUAAGUCAGUGGUGAAAUCUCUGGGCUCAACUCAGAAACUGCCAUUGAUACUAUUUAUCUUGAAUAUCGUUGAGGUUGGCGGAAUAUAUCAUGUAGCGGUGAAAUGCAUAGAUAUGAUAUAGAACACCGAUUGCGAAGGCAGCUAACUAAACGAUUAUUGACGCUGAGGCACGAAAGCGUGGGGAUCAAACAGG
rnacentral:rRNA from 1 species